ensembl:lncRNA
AGAAACUCCAGAACCCAAAGCAAAUUUUCCUGCCCGGUACAAGGAGGACAUAUUUUCACUGACUGUUUCCAUGGAAAUAAAUCGGAGGCAUUACUUUUGGAGCAACUAUGCGGCCCAAGAUAAUUUGUCUUGACUCAGUGUGAUCCAGGCAAGCCAAAAGGUUGCACACCCAUGAAAUAAGCCAAGAAAGUACAUGGACUGCAAGAAAAUUCUUUUUGGUCUACUGACAUCCCUGUUUAAUUAAUAAGUGCUGUCACACAUUCAGCAAGCACGCAUAUCGCUCUUGGUCUUGGUAAGAGCCACUCUCUUUUCCAGUGCUGUGAGUCACUCAGUCUUCACAAGGUUUUGUCCUCUUCACCAGUCACAAAAAAAUAUUUGUUUGGAAUUUGGUAAACUGAAGUGGAAGUGUCCUCGCUGCUGAGAAUUUACACUGGGACCAGAAUGAUGCCUGCUCUUCCCUCACACAAGGAUGCAGAGCCUAUCGAAGGAAGGGAAUUACGAAAUGACAAGCUUCCAUGAAGAUGCAAGGGUGAGAAGUAUUGCGGAGUUAAGAGAAGAGAAAGUCUCUCCAUCUCUCUGUCGUCCUGCUCAGACCCGAGAUUUAGACAAGGAAGAAUGGAAGAUUCGCUCGAAGGCGGCCUGAGAGUCUGCUGAGAAAGGAUGAGCCACAGCAGAGGAGGAGGAGAUUCAAGAAGGAAACAACAACCCAAGAGCAAGGAGGUUGUGAAUCAGCCAAACCUCUGGGAGACAUCAUGCACAGAGGAGGAGACACCAAGACUCCAUGCUCAGGAAAACUGAUAUACUUCUGUUAGUAGUCUUGGGUCUCAUUUGCAUUACCAUGCAUUACCAGUACUUAGAGAUAUGUUUAACUUUAAGGACAUGGGUGAUUGUGGUCUGAAAGCAGCAAUGUGGUUUUAUCUGCUUAUGUGCUCUAUAUUCUCAAAGGGAAACUGUUCCCACUUUUCAGAAACAAAACCUAAGAAUGUGACUGGGAAAAUGAGCCUGGGACAGAAAAAUCAGACCAACAGUCUAAAAGAUAUAAAAUAAAAUAAAAUAAAAUAAAAUAAAAUAAAAUAAAAUAAAAUAAAAUAAAAUAAAAUAAAAUAUGUCACAGCCUAUUGUAAAAAAAAAUCAUUUCUAACUAAGAAAAAGUGACUUGCAGGACUAAUUUGAGAAUAUAUUUGUCAUAAGCCAGCUAAGAUGAGCCAAGCUUUUUAAAUCAGUCCAUCCCUGCCUCCUUUGGCUGGUAGCAAGGAGAAAGAAACUUGGUGUGCAGCUGGAAGACUGAUGCCAAGCUAAUCGAAUGUGCGUGCAGAGGGAGCAGCAGAUGACAAGGACAGGAUUGGCAGGAUGUCGCCAGAUUGUUUGAUUAGCAAUGGGAUGGCUCAAGUGCUCCCUGUCCUACCAGGAACUUGGCACAGAUGCUGACACGUGACUCAGUCCCCAAGCAGUUGUUCUCUGCAGCACUGUUUGAAAAAGGGCUCUGCUUCUCCAAAAACAGGAAGGGUAUUAACAAAAACAAAAACAAGGAUGAGAAAGAAAGGCUAUGAGACUGUGUCUAUAAAUGUUAGAUUCUGGCUAUUCUUUCUGUUAAUACCACCCAAACUUCAGCUGAAAUGAAAUAUUUGACUUGGGAUAAAAAUCAGAUAGUCUGAAAUUUAACCCAGCAAAAGUAAUAUGAGGGAGCAUUGAUGAGUGGGUAUUUUCCUUCCCCUACAGUUUCGCCAUCCAUGUUAUUGCUUUCUUUCUGUGUGUCAGUUUAGACCAACCUGCCACAAAAAAAAAUAUUAUUUUUUUCCUAGGAGACAAAUAUGGUGAGAAAGGCAGCAACACUAUCUUCUAACACCAAAGUUGCAAAUCUAUUCUGGUGAAGCUAAGUGAAAAAUGAAGCAAACUGAUUUCAGAGACAUAUACGUAGGCCUAUGGAGAAAGCCCCAAGCAUAAAAACUAGCUCUCAGCACGAAACAUGGGUAGCAAUUGCCUUUGAUUACUAACAGCAGGUUUUUCAGUCUAUGGACAAAUGUGUAGAUUAUGAGCAAUUUUCUGAGGCAUCUAAAUCAGCAUAUUCAGAUAGAAACAAAUUUUUGAUGCUAUGGCAUCACUGCUACAGUCCAAAUUACAUUGCGCAGAUGUACAUGUAAAUAUCUUACUUGCACUAAAGGCAGCUCAGAAAAAUCAGGGAAUCUGACAUCUCCCCUGAGAUUUUUAAGAUAGUUCAAAUGAUAAAAUAAGUAAGUUCCUCAGAAACAAGAUGGGUGUUGGUGACAGUUUGUACAUUCAGCACAACAAAUAAUCAGCUGCUAUGAAUUUGGAUAACCCUGUUAAAGCCAACAGAACAGAAACAGUUUUUAUCAAGUUACAGCUAGUCCAGAGCAUAUACAUGAGACUUGUACAUAACAAUACUGCAGAUAUAUGGAGAAACUGUAAUGCAGACAGCAGCUUUAUAGUGGGCUUUCAUAUGCCUAUAUACUUCUAAACUGUAUGUGUAACUACAUUCUUGUCAGUUCUUCAGCCUUUUCAGAUGGAUAUGUUACUUCUCUCUAACGUGUCAGUUUUCUGACUAACCUGUCAUAACAAUCUAUGACACCACUCUCUAACAGCUUACCACUGCUUUACAUGAAAUGUGAGGGUUUGUCUGCAGUCACACAUAGGAAUCAUAUUCCAAAAUAAGAGUGUGGGGGAGACGUCUGUAAGUAUAGAUGUAAGCGCAUACGUAUGUAUACGUAGACAGACACACAGAUCCAAAAUAUCUGCCUGUGAAUCAUUGGAAUUACAAUCACAGAGAAUGAAGCAGCACAAGAUGGGAUAUUUCUCCUGAGCUGCACACUGUUUCUCAGCUUUGUGGAAAACUCCUUUUAUGCUGUGACCACAAAUGAUGCACCAUCAGUGGAGUGAUACCGUGUUGCUGAGAAAUGAACUGCUUGUUUGAAUGGACUUUGCAUUCGUUAUAGAAAAGGAACAACUCCAGUUUUAGAUAGAUUCAUUUAUUUACUUUGCGCUGUUUCCAUGACUCAUAAUCCUUUUAAUAAAUCAAACUAAAGAACAUAACAUCAAAUCAGAGAAUCAUAGAAUCUUUAGAGUUGGAAGGAAUGCUUACAGGCCAAGGAGGUGCAAGGAGGUACAGGUUCUUGAUUUGAGUCCCUCUGGAACACUUGAAAACAUAAAACAUAAAAAUUGUUCAAAAUAUCAUCUUUCCAAAUUAAUAUGUGUUCUUGUUCUGUAUUGUGCACACCGACAUGACAUGAUUCCUGGAAUUUCCUGCUGAUAGAACAUUUUUCCAAAGAUGAGAAGAGAUCCAAAACUUUACAUUAGCAUAGUUCAAAUUCACAAGUCCAUGGCCUCAGCCUACAGACAAUGAUGCCCCAGUCUCACUUGCAGCUAUUUCCAUUAGACGAGUGUGGCUGAUGGGUCAGAAUGGAAAAACUCAUGGGAAAAAAGACAACUUAAAAUCCAAAAGAUAAUGUUGGAGGUUUUAUCUGUGCUUCUGACAAUACACGGCUGUUAACUCUACUAAUCUGGGCUUUCUCUAAGGGCUGGCAGGGAAUUCAACAUAACCAAAUCUACUCUCUCUGAGGUGCGGGAACUUUCUGGAGCUUAUAAUGAAAGUCUGGAUGCUCAUGGAAAUCAAAGCUGCAUGCUCCUGCCCACAGAAGAGACAGGCAGCAUUGCCACUGCCCUGUGGCCCCAGAAAUAGAAUGGAAAUCUUUGAGGGACCUAAGAGAGAGGACUACAGCGAACACACAAUCUGUGUUUCCUGUAAACUUCUUCAUUUUCCCUCCAUCCUACUUUCAAAUGAAAACAGUCCCUACUGUUCUGAUGUAGGGGAGAAGUCUUUCCUGAUACAUAGCUUAACCUUAAAUGCUUAAAAGAGAAGGCAAACAGGUCCCAGAAAGGCUUAUCUGCAUCACAGAGGACACUAGUACCUCCUACCCCUCUCUUUCCAGUUGAAACUUAUCUUGGAUGUUUCAGAAAAAAAAGAUGAAGAGAAAGAGAAAAACAGCCAAGCAUUGUGUAAGGAGGUGUGAAACAUGUUUCUGGCCUUUACUUUCAUUCUGUGCUACCAUCUCAAAAUCUUUUCCUUGUUUCUGGGCAUCCUGUGUGACCCUUGUAAUUACAGUGAAUGUCUCUCAGGCAACAUUAACCCCUGCCCUGAUCCAUCUCUAACAAUGAUUGCAUUAAAAACUUCACUGUGUCUGCAGCUAUUUAAUCAUUCAUCACCUGGAAAGUGGUACUGCUCUACUGCUCUGUGACUGUGGCCAUUAGUGGUGACAAGCAAGGUCUUCCUGAAAUUAAGAAUAUGACAGUAUGAGCUGGCUUAGAUUCGGCCUUUUACAGAUACAUCCAAUAAUGAAAACUCCUUCACAUCGGUACUGUCCAAAGCCCGCUGACGUCAGUGGAGAGAUCUGAUCUCAGUGGGCUUUAAAUCAGACUCUAUAGCUAAGGCUUCCAAAGCAGCUGGGGGGAUUCAGGCACGUAUCUUUCAUUAAAGUGAGGGUAUAUUAAAGCAAAUGGAAGAUAUGUGUCUGAAAUCCCCUAGACUGCUUUGAAAAUCUAAAAUACUGUGCAAGCUGUACAGCUUUCUCUAUAAAAAUAGCUGCCAAAUCUAGCUUUGGUAAAGGCAAUAGAACUGCAUUAAAAGAUCCGCAGAAAGGCCUGGUCCCUCUGAUCCUUUAGGAAAACAGAGAGAAGGAUGGCCAGAGUGCUUUAUUUUCAGCUUUAAACCGUUCCCACGUCAAAGACAUUUGCUCGAGCAAUUUAUGGGAAUGGCAUAGUAGCCAAAAGAAAAGUAAUGCUACUCUUGUCUACGUAGAUGUCACACUUAUAUGGCUCAUCAAGCUGGGAUCAGGACUGCAACAUCUCUCGUGGACAUUAAGGAAUAUUUGAUGUGGGUUUCUCCAUGAGCCUAUGUGCAAGACUGAUCUGGUUGCAAAUUCAUGUUGAUAAGGCUGAGCCCAAGACAGCACCACCAUCAUUCCAGCAGCUCCUCUCAGGAGAAGUCUUGGUACAGACCCUUCUCCUCCUGUCCAGCUUUCAUGGGGACACAGCACUGUACCUCAGCCCCACGUAAGAACUCCCUCUGUUUUCUGAGAAGCAGUGAGACAAGCCUUCUUUCCUAUAGCCCACAAUGACAAUCUACUUAUUAUUCAGACACAGCCUCGCCUAAUUACCUUGUUAUUUUGUGGCAGGCUAGAACAAGGUAGCACCAUUAAGUCAAGUGUCUUCAUUUUAGCCAUCCACUGCCUUCAUUCUUGAUUUAGAAGGCAGUGGCACAAGAGUGGUCUCAGUCACACACAUCCCAUACAGCUCAGGUUGUCGUGCCACUAGCUUACCUUGGUUGUGUAUCUGCUUAUAGACUUUUUUCUUUAUUUCUUGCAUUUUUGGACUACCAAGAACAAGUUACAUUCUGUUAGAGUGACAAAGAGUAAUUGCAUUUUAUGUGUUAUUUCUUGAUGGUAGAGGUACUUCAAACCUCAGAUUGAUUUCAGAUUUCAAAUAUCAGAAAGUUUGAUGCAGUCAGCUCAGGGUGUCCAAUUCUGACCUGUCUCCUGCAAACACAAUCAAAACCUUAUAAGACUCAGAGCUCAGACAAAUGAUAAGCCAAGUCCAGGGAUCUGCCCAUAGUUCAUAUUUUUAGUGCAGGAAGAAUUGACUCAAAGGGAAAAUUGAUGUACAAGAAGAUGUGAUAAAGCUGACGUCCAGAUAGCAUUUGCUCUGCUGAAAUGUUACAACCUGAGCAAGACAAUCUGUGAAAGAGGUAAUUGAGCAUUUGAAAAGCACCUGUUAAUGACGGGUAAGAUAACAACCCCGAGGAACCACCUGUCAGGGCAGGUGAUGAACUCUCCCUCUGAUCUGUUUCUUACUACAGUUUUCUCCAGGGAAACUGGUAGCACAUUCACAUGUCUUUCUAGAGAAAGUUCAUAAUAACAGAGGAUUUAAAUAAACAGAAGAUUGAUUUUAAUGGAAGGUGAAUCAUUUGUGUUUCUUUUUUCUUUUCUCGUGCAGCUGAAAUGUUUUAUCUAGCUUAGAUUAUGAGGAAUGUAAAUAAAUUUAUGUUGAAUGUUAAAUAAACAUUUGCUUUCUUUUUUCCAA